rnacentral:rRNA from 1 species
UACGGAGGGAGCUAGCGUUGUUCGGAAUUACUGGGCGUAAAGCGCGCGUAGGCGGCUUUGUAAGUUAGAGGUGAAAGCCCGGGGCUCAACCCCGGAACUGCCUUUAAGACUGCAUCGCUUGAAUCCGGGAGAGGUGAGUGGAAUUCCGAGUGUAGAGGUGAAAUUCGUAGAUAUUCGGAAGAACACCAGUGGCGAAGGCGGCUCACUGGACCGGUAUUGACGCUGAGGCACGAAAGCGUGGGGAGCAAACAGG